rnacentral:lncRNA from 1 species
GUCAUCUAUCCUUGUCAUAAUUCUAACAUAGUCGUUCUAACCUUAUCGUUAGUCUAACCUUAUCUUAUUGCUAACUAAGAUUAUAUCUAGUCUAACCUUACCACUAUAUAGGAGGCACAACUUGCACAACAUCAAAAUAAUAGCAUGCAAUAAAUAAACACUUAAUCAUCGAAUCAUGACAUAGAGUAAACGCAUCAAAUUAAUUAAAAUCUAUCAAAAAAAACCUACAGCGGUGAUAAUAUAUUACCCCCUUAAACCAAACCACAUCAUUGAAAGCCAAAAUCUCAGAAUUAUAUCCAAGAUGAUUCCCUUUGCUUCCAUGAAUCCACAGCUUCUGACGGUGCGUCGUUUUGAACUCAAACGAACGAGUUAUACUUCAUUUACUUCUUUGCAAUAUUCUGAAACUCUAUAGUCCUCUAACUGCUUCCGUUACACUAGCUGAUCCGGAACUUCCAAUUGUUGACAAAACCGACCCAAGUCCUUAACUCUAGACCAUCUUUAAGUUCAGAACUACGGAAGCAAGACUUAGAAUAACUAAAUUCUAGAAUAGUCACUUAUCUUUCUAACUUGCAAAUCGGAUCACUGAACUUCUCAAACAUUGCGGGAAGGUCACUCUUCUUCUCAGACCAGGUUCGUCGCCGCCGGCAACUUCUGCCCAGAUUCCGGCAAGCUUCAAACCUCUUGAAACUACAACAGAUCCGCCCUGAAUCCUUCGUCGGAUGCCUAAGAGGCCCUUCCGCAGCCUCUUCCGCGUUCCACUGUCGUCCAUAGCCGUCGCCACUGCUCAUUAACCUCCGUCGACGAGUCUCCGAAUCCGCCGAACGUCGUCGAGGUCACAUCGAUCGGAACCACGCCGGUAUCUUCGUCCUCUCGAUUCCACCUACUGGGCAGAGAAUAACCACUGCUGCCCUCUGCAACAUCCCCCCUCUCUCCCUAUCUCUGUCUCCGUCGAUCUCCCACAAGUUGGGAACGCCGCCCACCUUCUUCCACACACUCGCCGGCUACCUCCCUGUCUUCCGGUUCCCUCGAGCAUAAGAGAGCUUCAAUCCCGAUCACGUGGAAGCCACCAAGGAGAAGAUGGAAGCCUCAUCUUCUUCGGUCUCUAUCUCCAUUCACGGUGUCGAGAUCCGCCGUCAACCCCCUCCUCUGUCCUUGGCGAUCUAGGGUUGGGGAAGUAGACUAAAUAACCGAGGCUCCCCGUCUUUUGUAUGUUACAGCUGCCGACGUAAUCGAUGGAUUCAUCCAACAGUUCUAAG